rnacentral:rRNA from 1 species
CCUACGGGAGGCUGCAGUGGGGAGUAUUGCACAAUGGGGGAAACCCUGAUCCAGCCACGUCGCGUGAGUGAAGACGUACCUCUUUGUUUUAAGCUCCUUUAGCAGGGAAGAAAAUGACGGUACCUGUGUCAUAAUCCCCGGCUAACUACGUGCCAGCAGCCGCGGUAAUCCGUAGGGGGCAAGCGUUAUCCGGAUUUACUGGGUGUAAAGGGGGCGUAGUCGGAAGUGCAAGUCUGGGGUGAAAGGCGGGGGCUCAACCUAGUAGGGCAAAAGAUACUGCAAAGCUAGAGUAUGACAGAGGUAAGUGGAAUGAGGGGUGUAGCGGUAAAAUGCGUAGAUAUAUGGAAGAACACCGGUGGCGAAGGCAGCUUGCUGGGUCGAUACUGACAUUGAGGCACGAAAGCGUGGGGAGCGAACAGGAUUAGAUACCCGAGUAGUC